rnacentral:lncRNA from 1 species
UCAAGUGCAAGAAGUGCACGGAGAUCGUGGACCAGUUUGUGUGCAAGUAGUGGGUGCCACCCAGCACUCAGCCCCGCUCCCAGGACCCGCUUAUUUAUAGAAAGUACAGUGAUUCUGGUUUUUGGUUUUUAGAAAUAUUUUUUAUUUUUCCCCAAGAAUUGCAACCGGAACCAUUUUUUUUCCUGUUACCAUCUAAGAACUCUGUGGUUUAUUAUUAAUAUUAUAAUUAUUAUUUGGCAAUAAUGGGGGUGGGAACCAAGAAAAAUAUUUAUUUUGUGGAUCUUUGAAAAGGUCUUGGGAAAACAAAACAAAACAAAACAAACCUCCCUUCCCCAGCAGGGCUGCUAGCUUGCUUUCUGCAUUUUCAAAAUGAUAAUUUACAAUGGAAGGACAAGAAUGUCAUAUUCUCAAGGAAAAAAGGUAUAUCACAUGUCUCAUUCUCCUCAAAUAUUCCAUUUGCAGACAGACCGUCAUAUUCUAAUAGCUCAUGAAAUUUGGGCAGCAGGGAGGAAAGUCCCCAG